AGAGUUUGAUCCUGGCUCAGGAUGAACGCUAGCUACAGGCUUAACACAUGCAAGUCGAGGGGAAACGACAUUGAAAGCUUGCUUUCGAUGGGCGUCGACCGGCGCACGGGUGAGUAACGCGUAUCCAACCUGCCCAUCACUUGGGAAUAACCUUGCGAAAGUAAGACUAAUACCCAAUGACGUCUCUAGAAGACAUCUGAAAGAGAUUAAAGAUUUAUCGGUGAUGGAUGGGGAUGCGUCUGAUUAGCUUGUUGGCGGGGUAACGGCCCACCAAGGCUACGAUCAGUAGGGGUUCUGAGAGGAAGGUCCCCCACAUUGGAACUGAGACACGGUCCAAACUCCUACGGGAGGCAGCAGUGAGGAAUAUUGGUCAAUGGACGAGAGUCUGAACCAGCCAAGUAGCGUGCAGGAUGACGGCCCUAUGGGUUGUAAACUGCUUUUAUAAGGGAAUAAAGUGAGCCUCGUGAGGCUUUUUGCAUGUACCUUAUGAAUAAGGACCGGCUAAUUCCGUGCCAGCAGCCGCGGUAAUACGGAAGGUCCGGGCGUUAUCCGGAUUUAUUGGGUUUAAAGGGAGCGUAGGCCGGAGAUUAAGCGUGUUGUGAAAUGUAGAUGCUCAACAUCUGCACUGCAGCGCGAACUGGUUUCCUUGAGUACGCACAAAGUGGGCGGAAUUCGUGGUGUAGCGGUGAAAUGCUUAGAUAUCACGAAGAACUCCGAUUGCGAAGGCAGCUCACUGGAGCGCAACUGACGCUGAAGCUCGAAAGUGCGGGUAUCGAACAGGAUUAGAUACCCUGGUAGUCCGCACGGUAAACGAUGGAUGCCCGCUGUUGGUCUGAAUAGGUCAGCGGCCAAGCGAAAGCAUUAAGCAUCCCACCUGGGGAGUACGCCGGCAACGGUGAAACUCAAAGGAAUUGACGG
rnacentral:rRNA from 1 species